rnacentral:misc_RNA from 1 species
CAGAUUGAAGAGGAGGUUAAGUUAUUGAAGGAUCUGAAACUCAUCUAAUCUUCUGAUGUUAUCAUUUCACUCAAAAGUGAAUAAUGAGAUCAUGAACUUGCGAAAUUUUGUGCAAUGUACCUCUUGAACGUAUAUUCAGUCACCUCACAUAUUUAGUAGCGGUACAAUAUUCAACUUUUAUUCCUAAGAGGAUGUCUGUUUUAAUCGGAAAUGUCACUCGAUAUUUAUUGAAUAUUCGCAAAUAUGUUGGAUUUCAAUCAUCGUUAAUUGGUACUUCGAAUGUCAAUCAAAAAGGAAUUCUAUGUAAACCUACAGUUCAAUCUGAAGAUUUUCUAUUUCGUCAGCUAUUUGACACGACAUCAUGUACCUAUACUUAUUUGUUAGGUGAUUUAUUAAAAAGAGAAGCAGUGUUGAUUGAUCCUGUUCUUGAAUUAGCAGAACGAGAUGCAAAGUUGAUUCAGGAACUUGAAUUAUCAUUGAAAUAUGCUUUAAAUACACAUAUGCAUGCUGAUCACAUAACGGGUACAGGGAAGUUAAAAUCAUUAUUACCAGGUUGUCAAUCGAUAAUAUCUCAGAGCAGUGGUGCGCAAGCGGAUAUUUUAGUUCAAUCACACGAUAAAAUUAAAUUUGGACGACAUCAGCUAGAAGUUUUAUCUACUCCUGGUCAUACAGAAGGUUGUGUGACUUAUGUAUGUAGAGAACAAGGUUUGGCUUUUACCGGUGAUGCUCUUUUAAUUCGAGGAUGCGGUAGAACAGAUUUCCAAGGUGGUUCUGCAAAAACUCUUUAUGAGUCUGUUCAUUCAGUAAUUUAUAAAUUACCAGAUAAUUUUCUCAUUUAUCCUGCUCAUGAUUAUUUGGGAAGAAUGGUUACAACAAUAGCUGAAGAGCGAGCUUUUAAUCCUCGACUUACAAAAUCAUUGGAUGAAUUUAUCAAGAUCAUGGAUAACUUGAAUCUACCCUAUCCAAAAAUGAUUGACAAAGCCGUACCAGCGAACAAAGUUUGUGGCUUGUACGAAUGUGCACCGGUGGAAGAAAAAUAGAAAAUAGAGUUGGAGAAUAAAGUGUUUUGAAACUUAUUAAAGUUUGGAACAUCGAUGUCAAAUUCAUCAAAGCUGUCAAAAUAAUGAGGAGAUUAUCAGAAAAAAAAGAUAUGUCAAGAAUGAGAAUAGGAUGAAAUAAAUGAUGAAUGAGGGUGACUUCCAGGCUUAUAACUGUUUGACUACUUUUGGCUUUUCUACCGUAACUUCCACAAGUAAAUGACACGAACAUCUAGCAGAGAUGAGCAAAGAGUAUGAACUCUGGUGUGAAAAAACCAAUGAAACAACGGCCACUAGAACUUGCAAUUUAGCAACGUCAUCACCGAACAGAUAAUUGACAACUGUAGAUUGAUGCAGACAAAAUAUUAUCCACAGGUUGUUAAUUUGACUUUGGGGAUACAAUAUAUCUGGACGCCCCAGGAGAUCGAUUAAUUCAAGAGACAAUCAUCGUUCUAUUCUGCUUAUUUAUCUCUCUAUCUCUCUUAGUCUUUGGUACUCCCUUAUGGUAUAUAGAUCGAAUAAUAGUACACUCAAGUAAUCGAGGUAUUCUAGUGCCAUUUCAAUUUCUGCGGGAAUCCUUAGGUUGGAAUCUACCAGAGACAAUUCCUCGAUAAUCGAGUUCCUCCCGUUUGUUGUCGUCAUCUUUUCAUUCUUCAUCACUUGACUUUUUGAUUUUUUUUUCUUCUAUUUUAUUAUUAAAUCACACGUCUCUACGAUUCUCUAAUGAUAUUGAUCAAGAAUAAAAUUCUCAUUUUAUCAAGUUUCAAUUGUGGAAUAUAGCCAAUCUUUUUAACCCAAUGAUAAACGGAUGACUCACUUGAAUUAACCACAAUCGGGACGUUCUAUUCAAUUUGAUUUUCUUCAACUUAUUGACUUAAAUUCUUGCGUUAGAGUAAACUUUUUUUGAUGUACUAAAGUCAACUUAUUUCUGUACUUAAAUAAAAUCAGUCAUAGUAUUUACUUUUC